rnacentral:rRNA from 1 species
UGGGGAAUUUUGGACAAUGGGCGAAAGCCUGAUCCAGCAAUGCCGCGUGUGUGAAGAAGGCCUUCGGGUUGUAAAGCACUUUUGUCCGGAAAGAAAUCCUUGGCUCUAAUACAGUCGGGGGAUGACGGUACCGGAAGAAUAAGCACCGGCUAACUACGUGCCAGCAGCCGCGGUAAUACGUAGGGUGCAAGCGUUAAUCGGAAUUACUGGGCGUAAAGCGUGCGCAGGCGGUUUGCUAAGACCGAUGUGAAAUCCCCGGGCUCAACCUGGGAACUGCAUUGGUGACUGGCAGGCUAGAGUAUGGCAGAGGGGGGUAGAAUUCCACGUGUAGCAGUGAAAUGCGUAGAGAUGUGGAGGAAUACCGAUGGCGAAGGCAGCCCCCUGGGCAAGUACUGACGCUCAUGCACGAAAGCGUGGGGAGCAAACAGGAUUAAUACCCUGGUAGUCCACGCCCUAAACGAUGUCAACUAGUUGUUGGGGAUUCAUUUCCUUAGUAACGUAGCUAACGCGUGAAGUUGACCGCCUGGGGAGUACGGUCGCAAGAUUAAAACUCAAAUAAUUGACGGGGUCA